rnacentral:rRNA from 1 species
UUGCCUACGGGGCGCAGCAGUAGGGAAUCUUCCACAAUGGGCGAAAGCCUGAUGGAGCAACGCCGCGUGGGUGAAGAAGGUCUUCGGAUCGUAAAACCCUGUUGUUAGAGAAGAAAGUGCGUGAGAGUAACUGUUCACGUUUCGACGGUAUCUAACCAGAAAGCCACGGCUAACUACGUGCAAGCAGCCGCGGUAAUACGUAGGUGGCAGGCGUUAUCCGGAUUUAUUGGGCGUAAAGGGAACGCAGGCGGUCUUUUAAGCCUGAUGUGAAAGCCUUCGGAUUAACCAGAGU